rnacentral:misc_RNA from 1 species
GAUGAAGAAACGCAGCGAAAUGCGAUAAGUAAUGUGAAUUGCAGAAUCCAGUGAAUCAUCGAAUCUUUGAACGCACAUUGCGCCCGCCAGCAUUCUGGCGGGCAUGCCUGUUCGAGCGUCAUUUCAACCCUCGACCUCCCUUUGGGGAAGUCGGCGUUGGGGACCGGCAGCACACCGCCGGCCCUGAAAUGGAGUGGCGGCCCGUCCGCGGCGACCUCUGCGUAGUAAUCCAACUCGCACCGGAACCCCGACGCGGCCACGCCGUAAAACACCCAACUUCUGAACGUUGACCUCGAAUCAGGUAGGACUACCCGCUGAACUUAAGCAUAUCAAUAAGCGGAGGA